GGAAAAUACAUUUGACCUGGUGGUUAGCAGCUUAAGUUUGCACUGGGUGAAUGACCUUCCUAGAGCACUUGAACAGAUUCAUUGUGUCUUAAAACCAGACGGGGCGUUUGUUGGUG